GACGAACGCUGGCGGCGUGGAUUAGGCAUGCAAGUCGGACGGUAGGGCUUUAUCGUAAGAUAGAGUUUGAGAGUGGCGAACGGGUGAGUAACACGUAGGAAUCUACCCUUAAGACGGGGACAACCCAGGGAAACUUGGGCUAAUACCGGAUGAGAGUGCGAGAGAUUGCAUUUAAAAGGAUGGCGAAAGUUGUCGCUUAGGGAUGAGCCUGCGGUCUAUUAGCUAGUUGGUGAGGUAACGGCUCACCAAGGCGACGAUGGGUAGCCGGCCUGAGAGGGUGGUCGCCCACACUGGGAUUGAGAUACGGCCCAGACUCCUACGGGAGGCAGCAGUCGAGAAUAGUCUACAAUGGUCGGAAGACUGAUAGUGCGACGCCGCGUGAACGAUGAAUCCCUUCGGGGUGUAAAGUUCUUUUAUAUGUGAGCAGUGCUUCUUAUAUUAACAGUAUGGGGAGAGAGAUAUUAGCAUAUGAAUAAGCAACGGCUAACUCCGUGCCAGCAACCG
rnacentral:rRNA from 1 species